CUCUCGGGACAUUUCAUACCAGCGGAACUACGCCGCAUCGUGGGUUCGCGGCUGGCUCCUGCUGGGUUCGCGGCUGGCUCCUGCAGCGGGGCCGUUCUCUCGGGUCCCGCCCCCCGUGCAGAUCAGAAAGCGGGGUCGGACGCCGGCACUGUCGCCUCCCCACCCCCGCACCGGUUCUGCGGAUCCUCCCCACGGCAGCUACAGUGAUCUCUGACACAGGACGAAAAUCUGGUGCGGCCCAGUUUAAAUUCUCUGGCUUUUGCCACUGCUUUCCAAAUAAAAUCCAAAUUUCUUAGCAUGGCCGGCAGGAUCCCACAGGAUCUGACCCCUCUAUUCCCUCAAGCGCUCAUCUCCAUCGCCUAGCCCUGGUCUCCCUUUGCUCCGCCGCCCCUGCCUUCCGCUAUCAUCCCAGGUAAAAACCUUAUAAACUGCAGGAGAGAGCCUUCUAUCCCACAAUCAAGAGCCUCUGCUGGAGUAUUGGGUUCCAACGAUGAACAGACUUGAGCAGAGCAACUGCAUAAAUAUGGAUGAAAGGGCUUCGGUCCCAGGGAAGAACUCGAUCUCCCCCUCUAUCAAUAUUUGAACCAAUUGUGAAUAGGCUGUACUUAUUCGCUGUCCACGACCAAUUUUCCAAAAGCUUUUUAUUCGUACUGUAAUUUUUCACAGUCACGUUGUCUUUACUGUUCGUGCGGUGAAUUCGUUUUAAGCAAACCACUCAAAACGCAGGAAAAUUGGCCAAUGAUACACUCACC